rnacentral:rRNA from 1 species
UACGAAGGGGGCUAGCGUUGCUCGGAAUCACUGGGCGUAAAGGGCGCGUAGGCGGAUUGUUAAGUCAGGGGUGAAAUCCUGGAGCUCAACUCCAGAACUGCCUUUGAUACUGAAGAUCUUGAGUUCGGGAGAGGUGAGUGGAACUGCGAGUGUAGAGGUGAAAUUCGUAGAUAUUCGCAAGAACACCAGUGGCGAAGGCGGCUCACUGGCCCGAUACUGACGCUGAGGCACGAAAGCGUGGGGAGCAAACAGG